GUACCCUCCCCGCAGCCUCCAGAGCUGCCCACGCUGAGCGGAAACCUGAGAGGUCUGGACAGGGAGCCCCCGCCUCAGGCCAGGCUCCACCCAAGCCGCCGCCACAGCUGAGCGCAGGGAUUUUGCUGAGAUGGGACUGGAGGAGAACUGGCUCCUGCUGGGUUACCAAGUGGCGUUACCAUUAUCACCGGCAGCAGAAGAGGGAUCCGAGGGCCAGUAGUGGUGGAGGUGACCCCACUCACCCAAGCAUUCCAUGAAGAGGCUGAAUUCCUUGAUGACUCUUCACAGGCGAGCAAGGAACAAGUUUUGAGAAACCUGAGUAACACCGUAGGCUCAAGGUCUAGAUACAAAUGUUCCUGAAUACUCAGUCUGGCUGUAGAUACUUGGAUUGGAAACAGACUCAGUAGGUCAUCUUGUCCCCCCUCCUGCCUUUGGCAGAACUGACUGUUUUUUUCCCCCUUUCUUCUUCUUCUCCCUAAAGCCCCCCAGUCCAUAGUUAUAUAUUCUAGUCGUGAGUGCCUCUGGCUGUGCUAUGUGGGACGCCUCCUCAGCAUGACUUGAUGAGUGAUGCCAUGUCCACACCCAGGAUCCAAACCGGCGAAACCCUGGGGAGCCAAAGCGGAGUGUGCAAACUUAACCAAUCGGCCACGGGGCCGGCCCCUUGACUAACUCUUGAUAUAUGGUUGUCUUACUCUUUCUAUAUCUCCAGGGAUCAUGAUACUACACAUCCCUCCACUCAUUUACUCAUCCAUCCAUCCUCCCACCUGUCCAUCCAUCCACCCAUCCACCCACCCAUCCAUCAUUUAUUGAAAGAUGAGUAAGACAGGGAUCCUUUCCUUUAAGAACUAAUGGUAUAUUCUUUUCAGGGGUUCCAAUGCCUAAACAACAGGAGUAAUUUCU
rnacentral:lncRNA from 1 species